rnacentral:tRNA from 1 species
GGGGAAUUAGCUCAAAUGGUAGAGCGCGCUUGGCUGCAAAAGGUAGUGGGAUCGAUGCCCACAUUCUCCA